UACAGAGGGUGCAAGCGUUGUUCGGAAUUAUUGGGCGUAAAGCGCGUGUAGGCGGCUUUGCAAGUCGGGUGUGAAAUCCCUCAGCUCAACUGAGGAAGUGCGCCCGAAACUGCAGAGCUUGAGUACCGGAGAGGAUGGUGGAAUUCCCCAAGUAGAGGUGAAAUUCGUAGAUAUGGGGAGGAACGACCGGUGGCGAAGGCGAACCAUCUGGACGGAGUACUGACGCUGAGACGCGAAAGCGUGGGGAGCAAACAGGG
rnacentral:rRNA from 1 species